rnacentral:misc_RNA from 1 species
GAUGAAGAACGCAGCGAAAUGCGAUAAGUAAUGUGAAUUGCAGAAUUCAGUGAAUCUUCGAAUCUUUGAACGCACAUUGCGCCCCUUGGUAUUCCGAGGGGCAUGCCUGUUCGAGCGUCAUUAUAACCCUCAAGCUCAGCUUGGUGUUGGGGCCUGCUGCAGUGGCAGCCCUUAAAAUCAGUGGCGGCGCCAUCUGGCUCUAAGCGUAGUAAUUCUUCUCGCUAUGGAGUCCUGGUGGAUGCUUGCCAUCAACCCCCAAUUUUUCUAUGGUUGACCUCGGAUCAGGUAGGGAUACCCGCUGAACUUAAGCAUAUCAAUAAGCGGAGGA